GAUGAACGCUGGCGGCGUGCCUAAUACAUGCAAGUCGAGCGAACAGACGAGGAGCUUGCUCCUCUGACGUUAGCGGCGGACGGGUGAGUAACACGUGGAUAACCUACCUAUAAGACUGGGAUAACUUCGGGAAACCGGAGCUAAUACCGGAUAAUAUAUUGAACCGCAUGGUUCAAUAGUGAAAGACGGCUUUGCUGUCACUUAUAGAUGGAUCCGCGCCGCAUUAGCUAGUUGGUAAGGUAACGGCUUACCAAGGCAACGAUGCGUAGCCGACCUGAGAGGGGGAUCGGCCACACUGGAACGGAGACACGGUCCAGACUCCUACGGGAGGCAGCAGUAGGGAAUCUUCCGCAAUGGGCGAAAGCCUGACGGAGCAACGCCGCGUGUGUGAUGAAGGUCUUCGGAUCGUAAAACUCUGUUAUUGGGGAAGAACAAAUGUGUAAGUAACUAUGCACGUCUUGACGGUACCUGAUCAGGAAGCCACGGCUAACUACGUG
rnacentral:rRNA from 1 species